GGUUAAGUGAAUAAGGGCGCACGGUGGAUGCCUUGGCACUAGGAGCCGAUGAAGGACGGGACUAACACCGAUAUGCUUUGGGGAGCUGUACGUAAGCUAUGAUCCAGAGAUUUCCGAAUGGGGGAACCCAACAUCUUUAAUAGGAUGUUACGAUUGUGUGAAUACAUAGCACAUUCGAGGUAGACGCAGAGAACUGAAACAUCUAAGUACCUGCAGGGAAGAGAAAGAAAAUUCGAUUCCCUGAGUAGCGGCGAGCGAAACGGGAAAAGCCCAAACCAGCAAGCUUGCUUGUUGGGGUUGUAGGACUCCAAUAUGGUAGUUCUUUCAGAUAGUCGAAUGACUUGGAAAAGUCAGUCAAAGAGGGUAAAAACCCCGUAGACGAAAUGUGGAAGACACCUAGGAGGAUCCUGAGUACGGCGGAACACGAGAAAUUCCGUCGGAAUCCGGGAGGACCAUCUCCCAAGGCUAAAUACUCCCUAGUGACCGAUAGUGAACCAGUACCGUGAGGGAAAGGUGAAAAGCACCCCGGAAGGGGAGUGAAAUAGAACCUGAAACCGUGUGCCUACAACAAGUCAAAGCCCGUUAAUGGGUGAUGGCGUGCCUUUUGUAGAAUGAACCGGCGAGUUACGAUUGCAUGCGAGGUUAAGUUGAAGAGACGGAGCCGCAGCGAAAGCGAGUCUGAAUAGGGCGUUUGAGUAUGUAGUCGUAGACCCGAAACCAUGUGAUCUACCCAUGUCCAGGUUGAAGGUGCGGUAAAACGCACUGGAGGACCGAACCCACGUACGUUGAAAAGUGCGGGGAUGAGGUGUGGGUAGCGGAGAAAUUCCAAACGAACUUGGAGAUAGCUGGUUCUCUCCGAAAUAGCUUUAGGGCUAGCCUCGGAAUUGAGAAUGAUGGAGGUAGAGCACUGUUUGGACUAGGGGCCCAUCUCGGGUUACCGAAUUCAGAUAAACUCCGAAUGCCAUUCAUUCAUAUCCGGGAGUCAGACUGUGAGUGAUAAGAUCCAUAGUCGAAAGGGAAACAGCCCAGACCACCAGCUAAGGUCCCAAAAUAUAUGUUAAGUGGAAAAGGAUGUGGGGUUGCACAGACAACUAGGAUGUUGGCUUAGAAGCAGCCACCAUUUAAAGAGUGCGUAAUAGCUCACUAGUCGAGUGACCCUGCGCCGAAAAUGUACCGGGGCUAAACAUAUUACCGAAGCUGUGGAGUACACCUUUAGGUGUAUUGGUAGGAGAGCGUUCUAAGGGCGUUGAAGGCAGAUCGUGAGGACUGCUGGAGCGCUUAGAAGUGAGAAUGCCGGUAUGAGUAGCGAAAGACAGGUGAGAAUCCUGUCCACCGAAUGACUAAGGUUUCCUGGGGAAGGCUCGUCCGCCCAGGGUUAGUCGGGACCUAAGCCGAGGCCGACAGGCGUAGGCGAUGGAUAACAGGUUGAUAUUCCUGUACCCGUUGUUUUUGUUUGAGCAAUGGAGGGACGCAGGAGGCUAAGGAAUGCAGACGAUCGGAAAUGUCUGUCCAAGCAGUAAGUCUGAAGAGGAGUCAAAUGCUUCUUUUCUUAAGGACAAGCUGUGAUGGGGAGGGAAAUAAUAGUACCGAAGUUCCUGAUGUCACACUGCCGAGAAAAGCUUCUAGUGAGAAAACAGCGGCCCGUACCGCAAACCGACACAGGUAGUCGAGGAGAGAAUCCUAAGGUGAGCGAGAGAACUCUCGUUAAGGAACUCGGCAAAAUGACCCCGUAACUUCGGGAGAAGGGGUGCUGAUCAUACGAUCAGCCGCAGUGAAUAGGCCCAAGCGACUGUUUAUCAAAAACACAGGUCUCUGCAAAAUCGUAAGAUGAAGUAUAGGGGCUGACGCCUGCCCGGUGCUGGAAGGUUAAGAGGAGUGCUUAGCGCAAGCGAAGGUACGAAUUGAAGCCCCAGUAAACGGCGGCCGUAACUAUAACGGUCCUAAGGUAGCGAAAUUCCUUGUCGGGUAAGUUCCGACCCGCACGAAAGGCGUAACGAUUUGGGCACUGUCUCAACGAG
rnacentral:rRNA from 1 species